AGAACUUAGCAGAGAUGCUUUGGUGCCUUCGGGAACUCUGAGACAGGUGCUGCAUGGCUGUCGUCAGCUCGUGUUGUGAAAUGUUGGGUUAAGUCCCGCAACGAGCGCAACCCUUAUCCUUUGUUGCCAGCGGUUAGGCCGGGAACUCAAAGGAGACUGCCAGUGAUAACUGGAGGAAGGUGGGGAUGACGUCAAGUCAUCAUGGCCCUUACGAGUAGGGCUACACACGUGCUACAAUGGCGCAUACAAAGAGAAGCGACCUCGCGAGAGCAAGCGGACCUCAUAAAGUGCGUCGUAGUCCGGAUUGGAGUCUGCAACUCGACUCCAUGAAGUCGGAAUCGCUAGUAAUCGUAGAUCAGAAUGCUACGGUGAAUACGUUCCCGGGCCUUGUACACACCGCCCGUCACACCAUGGGAGUGGGUUGCAAAAGAAGUAGGUAGCUUAACCUUCGGGAGGGCGCUUACCACUUUGUGAUUCAUGACUGGGGUGAAGUCGUAACAAGGUAAGCGUAGUGCU
rnacentral:rRNA from 1 species